rnacentral:rRNA from 2 species
CGGGGAUGGAUCGGCCCGCGUCUGAUUAGGUAGUUGGUGGGGUAAUGGCCUACCAAGCCUACGAUCAGUAGCUGGUUUGAGAGGAUGAUCAGCCACACUGGGACUGAGACACGGCCCAGACUCCUACGGGAGGCAGCAGUGGGGAAUCUUAGACAAUGGGCGCAAGCCUGAUCUAGCCAUGCCGCGUGAGUGACGAAGGUCUUAGGAUCGUAAAGCUCUUUCGCUGGGGAAGAUAAUGACUGUACCCAGUAAAGAAGUCCCGGCUAACUCCGUGCCAGCAGCCGCGGUAAUACGGAGGGGACUAGCGU